rnacentral:lncRNA from 1 species
ACUGUACAGCGGCAGAGGAUCCACCGCGCGGUGCGUCGCCUACCGAAAGGGUGGCCGCUGCACCUGUGUUGCAGCACCCUGUUCGGCCACCACGUCGACAGCGACCGCGACGGGUGGAUACCUUGACGACGAUGUCAUCGCAGUGCACCCGCAGCGUGGAACAGGGCGACGAGAUGCCGCAGGUGCUGCGGAGAAUCGAGGCCUCCACCACCCGCCUCGCUGUCGCGGCAGAGCGGACGGCAGCAGCUCAGGAAGGGAUCUUGGAG